GACUCCGUAGUGUAGUGGUUAUCACGUCUGUCUCACACACAGAAGGUCGCCUGUUCGAAUCUGGCCGGAGUCA